rnacentral:tRNA from 1 species
AGCUUCGAGGUGUAUUAUCAUGUCAGACUGCAAAUCUGAAGUCGGCAUACGGCCCGGGGCUU